GACGAACGCUGGCGGCGUGCCUAAUACAUGCAAGUAGGACGCAGUUGCGAACGGGUGAGUAACGCGUAGGUAACUACCUAUUAGAGGGGGAUAACUAUUGGAAACGAUAGCUAAUACCGCAUACUAGUAGAUUGACCUGCGUUGUAUUAGCUAGUAGGUAGGGUAAUGGCCUACCUAGGCAACGAUUCAUAGCCGACCUGAGAGGGUGAUCGGCCAACAUGGGGCCGAGACAAGGCCCAGACUCCUACGGGAGGCAGCAGUAAGGAAUCUUCGGCAAUGUGGGGAAACCUGACCGAGCAACGCCGCGUGAGUGAAGAAGGUUUUCGGAUCGUGAAGCUCUGUUGUUAAGGAAGCGUUACUUAACCAGAAAGGGACGGCUAACUACGUGCCAGCAGCCGCGGUAAUUC
rnacentral:rRNA from 1 species